AGUGGGACUAUGUAGAAUAGAUAUUAAUUAAUUUUUAAAAGAUAUUAGUAAAAUAUAUUAAUAGUUCAUAUAAUAGAAAAUUCAAGAGGACGGAUGAGUGAUUUAGUUCUUAAAAGUGGUUAAUUACAGAAUUACGGUUAGAAUCUGGAAAAUCAAGAAAAAGUAUAUAGGAGUUGUAGAAGUUAAUUAAGGUGCCAUUGCUGUGAUAGUUGUGAGCCGGGGUAAGCUUGGUGCUACCUCUUUUCUUUUGUUUGUUAUUUUCUUUGAAUAAGAGGAUUGAGAGUUUCUGAAUAUUGUGAAGUAAAUUAUGGAAUGGAAAUGUGAUUGGAAUUAUUCGAGAAGAAGAAAGAUUGAAUGUUGAAAUUUGAUUGUAGUUUAGCAGAGAAAAUGAGUCCAUGUUUGUGUGAAUCAUCGUAAUGUGAAUGGCAGUUUUGUGUGAAGAAUUUCAGUGAUUGGAAUGAGGAUUAUUGUGUGCUGAAAGUUGUGAGGGCGCAGUAUUAUAGUUGGAGAUUAUGAGGGUGAAUAUAUUAGUAGAAAUAGUAGUUAUUG
rnacentral:lncRNA from 1 species